AACUGCGGGAGUUGAAUUUACAAAAGAUUUCAUUCACUUCAACAACUCUAUAGCAACUGUUUUCUCUUCUCCUUUCUUUUUUUAUUCUUUUUAUUUUUAUUUUUCAGAAGGAAUUUGUAUUGAUUGACAUACUUCUAUUUUUUUCAUUCAUUUUUUUUCUUUUUCUGCCAACUUCUGAAAUAUCACAAAUAUAAUUAUUCAACCUCACACAACUCCAAACAAGACUUUUCCAACCCUUUGAAUAGGGUGAUAACAUUGUUUUUUACUUCUCGAUUUAUAUUGAGUUUU
rnacentral:lncRNA from 1 species